rnacentral:lncRNA from 1 species
CAUGUUUUUGCAUGCUUGCAUGCAUGUUUGACACACCGUGUGCAUGCAGUGAUUUGUGGUUGAGCAACAACAAAUGGUUGUGGCCUUGUUUACGGAAGCGAUGUGGCUUUUUAACCGGCCACGGAUACCAUCAUAUCGCCUCUCGGCGCCUACACUGCGACAUAGCCCGGCUGUAGACUGGCUGCUUUUCAAAAUUUCAAUCAUGCUGACGGGCAUUUCCAUGGUGGUGCUUGGUCAUUACAUUACAUGCGUGAUCUAUGCGGUGCAUCAACCCGACGUGCAGAGGCCCCUCCUCAACACCAUGCUUGCGUCCUUGUGGGAACGACGGACACUCAACCGCCCCAGCCUACGGCUGUGCGUGGUUGCUUUGUUGUCGCGUUCUCAGAACCGGUUGUAGUUGCAGCAGGUGUGGUGAGGGCGUAAUAAAGCAGAAUGACCUUUUCGGGGAUUUUGGUGUGAGUUUACACCCGUGCAUGGGGCAUGCAUAUGCGCGGGGCUUGCAUGCAUACCGUGCUCGACAAGGUGCCGGGCACAAGGGGGCACUACCGGGCCCAGGUGGGGAUGCCGCACGAACAAUAAACAGGGAGGACACGUUGGCGCCCAUCAUGCAUGCAGUCGUGUUCGCGCGUUGGCCUUGCCGAGCACUUGUUGUGUGUGCGGACGAAGGAAGAUUCACGGUCAAAGGCAGGCUGGUAAGUGCAGAAUCCCAUUGGCCAGGGGCCCGUUGCAGGUGCGCCUUGAGCAAACACGUUCCAUUUUCUUUGGUCCGGCGCCCUGAGUGCGGUGUCUGCGUAAGCUCGAAGUGCGUUCGUGCCAGUGUGCGGCAAGCUGCAGUUUCACCACCCUAGUGGCGCUUGUUGAGAUGACGUAAGUUGUGAGGUCUCGGACAAAUGCGCUCUGCCUCGGGCCGAGGCGGCGUGGUGUGAGGCUGAUGUGCCGCGGGCGGGCGGCGCGGGGCCGGGGAGGACCGUGAACGGGUGCUGCGUUGGGGUAGCGACAGUGCACGUUGCUGGUGCAGGUGUGGGGCACGCCGCCCCCAUGGAUGGCUACCCCCCCACCACCACCACCACCAUGCCCGGCCACGUGCCAAACGCUCAGUGGCAGUGCAACGUUAGGGUGGCAGCGUUAGGCGCUGAGAUGCAUGAUGGCGGCUGGCGAGCAGCAGGCAGGACAAACGCACACACCGCCGCGUGAGCAGGCAGCGUGCGAGAGGG